rnacentral:rRNA from 1 species
GCUUAACACAUGCAAGUCGAGGGGCAGCGGGGGUAGCGAUACCCGCCGGCGACCGGCGCACGGGUGAGUAACGCGUAUGCAACUUGCCUAUCAGAGGGGGAUAACCCGGCGAAAGUCGGACUAAUACCGCAUGAAGCAGGGGCCCCGCAUGGGGAUAUUUGCUAAAGAUUCAUCGCUGAUAGAUAGGCAUGCGUUCCAUUAGGCAGUUGGCGGGGUAACGGCCCACCAAACCGACGAUGGAUAGGGGUUCUGAGAGGAAGGUCCCCCACAUUGGUACUGAGACACGGACCAAACUCCUACGGGAGGCAGCAGUGAGGAAUAUUGGUCAAUGGCCGAGAGGCUGAACCAGCCAAGUCGCGUGAGGGAUGAAGGUUCUAUGGAUCGUAAACCUCUUUUAUAAGGGAAUAAAGUGCGGGACGUGUCCCGUUUUGUAUGUACCUUAUGAAUAAGGAUCGGCUAACUCCGUGCCAGCAGCCGCGGUAAUACGGAGGAUCCGAGCGUUAUCCGGAUUUAUUGGGUUUAAAGGGUGCGUAGGCGGCCUUUUAAGUCAGCGGUGAAAGUCUGUGGCUCAACCAUAGAAUUGCCGUUGAAACUGGGGGGCUUGAGUAUGUUUGAGGCAGGCGGAAUGCGUGGUGUAGCGGUGAAAUGCAUAGAUAUCACGCAGAACCCCGAUUGCGAAGGCAGCCUGCCAAGCCAUUACUGACGCUGAUGCACGAAAGCGUGGGGAUCAAACAGGAUUAGAUACCCUGGUAGUCCACGCAGUAAACGAUGAUCACUAGCUGUUUGCGAUACACUGUAAGCGGCACAGCGAAAGCGUUAAGUGAUCCACCUGGGGAGUACGCCGGCAACGGUGAAACUCAAAGGAAUUGACGGGGGCCCGCACAAGCGGAGGAACAUGUGGUUUAAUUCGAUGAUACGCGAGGAACCUUACCCGGGUUUGAACGCAUUCGGACCGAGGUGGAAACACCUUUUCUAGCAAUAGCCGUUUGCGAGGUGCUGCAUGGUUGUCGUCAGCUCGUGCCGUGAGGUGUCGGCUUAAGUGCCAUAACGAGCGCAACCCUUGCCACUAGUUACUAACAGGUAAAGCUGAGGACUCUGGUGGGACUGCCAGCGUAAGCUGCGAGGAAGGCGGGGAUGACGUCAAAUCAGCACGGCCCUUACAUCCGGGGCGACACACGUGUUACAAUGGCGUGGACAAAGGGAGGCCACCUGGCGACAGGGAGCGAAUCCCCAAACCACGUCUCAGUUCGGAUCGGAGUCUGCAACCCGACUCCGUGAAGCUGGAUUCGCUAGUAAUCGCGCAUCAGCCAUGGCGCGGUGAAUACGUUCCCGGGCCUUGUACACACCGCCCGUCAAGCCAUGGGAGCCGGGGGUACCUGAAGUCCGUAACCGAAAGGAUCGGCCUAGGGUAAAACUGGUGACUGGGGCUAAGUCGUA